rnacentral:lncRNA from 1 species
CAUUUCCCUCGUCUUUCCUCCUCCCUCUUUCAGAAACCCUAGCCGCCUUCACCAACCUUCUCCGAAUUCGAUUAAUUCAUGAAUUCCUGUCAUGAUUCACUUACCUUUUAUGGAUUAUCUCAUUGUUCUUUACAAGAUUAUUGUAUUACAUAGUACUUGCCCCAUUUUUGGCAAGCACCAAUAUUCCUAAUCAAAUAGAAAUCAGACUUACUCCUCAAGAUUCAGACGAUUUUUCGUCUAUAUACACUCAUGGCAAGAUUAUAUGGGUCUGGUUUACCAAGAUUCUUCGGCCAAUCUCAGAUUCUGGGCAGAACUAGGGUUUGCCUGAUUUUUCUCCUAAUUUGGUUCUAAAUUGAUUCUGCAUGCUUUUCUUUCUUUAUUUGUGUUUGAUUGAUUAUAUUUUCUUGUUUGUUUGUUCAAUUUCCAUUACUAUAUAAACCCAUCCCCAACUCCCCCAUGAGAUUCUGAAUGGCAAGAAGAAAACUACUAUUGUUCUCUUAUUCUUUCUUGUCCUAUACUAUUUUGAGGCUCAAUCUUUUGGCAGGCUGAAAGCCAUGGCCAUCGGAAUUCAAUUCUCGAAUCUUUCUCAAUGUGAGCACUGCCCGGGGUUCGUUCGAAAUCCUUGGGAACUGUGAGGCACUGAGAUUCAUGGGUUCUACUGCUCGUUUUUUGCUAUUGACAUUGAAGUGUUGCUGAAAUUACUCCCCAUGUUUACUUAUUCGUCUGUAAUUGGUAAUGUAGCUACGACUCUUGCAAUUUCAUUUUUGUUUCUUCUCGUUUAAAUUCCUGCUAUGCAUAUCUAUGUAUUUGAGAAUUUUUAUGAACCAACAUGCCAUUAUAUGCUUUGAAACACUUCUUGAGGCUUUAUACCUUCUAGUAGCCCAACUUGCAUAUUUGUUGCCUUGAUUCUGCCAUAUUAAGCCUACUUGCUAAUGUAUGUGCUCGAAUGCUCGUUGUUGUUGCCUAUUCUGAGUUUGGUUUCUUUCCUUGUUCUUUACUCUUGUGAUGAGUCGAGUCAUGUCCAGAACCUGUUCUAAGUCUUGACUCAUUCAUGUGCGACUUGAUACUUUUCUAAGAAUUAACUCCUGUUUAUGUUAUUAGCCCAGGCAUGCUUUCCUUGCUACUUAUGAACUAAUGCUCGUUCCCUGCCUUAUCCUGUACCUUUGUGAUGAAUCCAUGCAUGCGUUUCAGACCUUGUUAAGUCAUUCCUGUCCAACCUGCUAAGUUUUGAUGUUGUACUGAUUAGCUAGGGCCUGCUUUCAUGUCAUUUAAGUUCUAGUGUAUGCUUUGACUUAUGCAAUCCUGUUUGAGACAUUUAGGAAGACCUCAUGCCUAGCCUCUUCCCCCAUAUGUGAUUAAUCCUAGUGCAGGCUAGUACUGUUAACCUAUAUUUGACAUAUCCUUGCCUAUUGUGAGUCCUGGUGCUAUUUAAACCUUCGUUUAUGAUUGAUAAUGUUAAAGUCUUCAUGCCCAGUUGAUUGGAUUAUUACAGACUAUGUUCAUUAGCCUAUUUUUUAUCAUAUUUGCACUAGACCCUCAUGAUAGAAAUUUUACUUGUUUCCGUCUGUGAUUCUGUAAGAUUCCUCUGUCAAGAUUGUGUUUAAGUUAACCUUAGAUCAUAUUAUAUCCUGAAACUCUAUUUGGGUUGUCUGUUGGUUGGUGAUGUUCCUUCCUCUCUUCUGAACUUCUAGUAUCUUAUGUGUAUAACUCUGUGUGAUCUCAUCUACCUGUUGUGGUUUAAACUACUAUUAGUUGCAGUCCUAAGAAUUAAGUGUGUGGACUUCGAGUGGUUUGAUUAAUUUAUGAACAACUUGUUACUCAUGUGGUUAAGUCUGGCAUUGCUGGGUAUGUUGAUUCCCCCUUUCAGACUUGGUAUAGGUUUGGGUUCGAGUCAUACAACUGAUACACUCUAAAUGUCCUGAGGUGUACCUAUACCUGGGUUUACUAUUUUUUUGUGUGAAGAAUGAGAUCACUGAAGACCUUGAAGUUGCUGGGUUAUUCCUCUCUGGGCCUGCUCUGCUUUUUGGGCCCUGUACUCAUUCAGCUUGUAAUAUUCGAGCAUGUACUCUUCAUUUUAGUCCUGUAAUAAUUUGUAAACAAAUAAUUGGGGCGUUAGUGGAACUGGGGAAUGAGUGUGCUUUAUUCUUACAUAAGGGGUAGAAAACAUGCCUAUAGGGUCUACGUGCUUUAUUUGCUACCUUGUUUAACUUGCUCUACUUCUGCACACCAGUAGAAAUCAUGUCUAUAAGAAUUGCAUACACCUCACCAAAUAUGUCUAAUACUCGCACACUAUCUCAAACAUGUUAGUAAUUGCUAUAAUUGAUUUCCAUAUUAUUACUAUGUGUUAAGACAACAUGACUAUAGGGUGUAUAGCACAUGCUUUGUCAACCUAGAAACCAUGCCUAUAGGACUUCAAAUAAUCAAUUGGUCUAUUGCUUCUAUUACUUUUAGGGUACUUCCCAUCUAAAUAUCAUGACUAUAGGACCCUAAUCUUUUAAUCAACUACUUCUGUUGUUUUCAUUACACUGCCCCGCCUAGAUGACAUGCUUAUAGGAUUAAAGUGCUGUAAAAUCAAUUUCAGUUAUCAACUACUAGAAAUCCUGCUAUUAGAAUGCCGUCACCUACCUAAGAUGUUUGUCAAUAAAAUCAGCAAUGGUAAUUCGGAAUUUUGAGAUUGUUUCACUGUCUUAUUGCGCAAAUAAUUAGAAAUCAUGCCUAUAGGACUUGCAAUGCCUUUAAUCUGCAAGUUCGUUAGUUUAAAGCUGUAUUGCUGCCUAUACAACGAUGGAAAUCAGAAUCACAUAGAAACUAUGCCUAUAAGCUUAAUAGCUCUAAUGCGUUUGAAAUUGUCUAUUGCCUAACUACCCGCAUGCAUUUGUUGUUUAAUACCGCUAGGUUAACUUGAGCCUUUAAUUGUACUUAUGUGUAGUCCUACAUGUUUUUGAAUGUGUGCUAGUUUUAUCAUUUUGAACAUCCUAAAUGAAGUCUAGAACCACCCAAAUAGAGAUCCAAAGCCUCCUGGACCUUAUGUAUGGGACGGGUAGUGCACACAUAGGGUACGACCAAGAAUUGAAUUAGAGUGCCUUUAGGUAAACAACUUUAGCAUAGUAAUCGGGUAGCAGGAGAUUAUAGUCUGUGCCCGCUGAAUAAUAUGAGCAACCCCUAUCUCAAAGGAGUUGCGAAAUAAUAUUUAUGUUGCACGGGGUGAUCCUUUAGGCUAAAAAGCAUAGGACCCCCCCUCCUUUUCUUUUCUUUAUGUAUUUGUUAUUUACACUUAGUCAUCUAACAUAGAUCAAUGUAACUGUAUCAUUGUAAUCAUUAAGAUUUAUGUCAAUUCUCACGUGUUCUAAUAAGACUCUUCGG